UUUCUUUUAAUUAUAAAAUUAAUAGGACAUACUUUAGACUACAAUGUUUAAUAAUGGUAACGGACCAAGUUUUGAGGCUUAGUCCGAAAAAAAAGGGUGCACAGAGUUAGAGGUAAAGACGGAUUUCAAUAAAGAACAUCCAAAUUCACUAAUGAUCCUUCCGCAGGUUCACCUACGGAAA
rnacentral:misc_RNA from 1 species